UACGUAGGCAGCGAGCGUUGUUCGGAAUUACUGGGCGUAAAGAGUGUGUAGGCGGUGCUCUAAGUUCGGUGUGAAAUCUCCUGGCUCAACUGGGAGGGUGCGCCGGAAACUGGAGUGCUUGAGCGUGGGAGAGGAAAGCGGAAUUCCUGGUGUAGCGGUGAAAUGCUGUAGAUAUCAGGAGGAACACCUGUGGUGUAGACGGCUUUCUGGA
rnacentral:rRNA from 1 species